GCCUUCAUGGUGUAAUGGUCAACACGCUCGAUGCCUAUUCGAGAAGUCCGUGGUUCGAGUCCCAGUGAGGGCA